rnacentral:lncRNA from 1 species
GUGAUAACAAGCACUUUAUUUUACAUUUUAAUAUUUUAUGAUGUAUUUAAAAGAGUAGUUAUUGUUGCAAACUCCAUUAGAAAUUUGAAUUGAUAUCAGUUUUGGAAAAAGGGAAACGGGGAUGUGAAAAAAAGGGGGGUUUAAAUUUUUCUCAUUUCAGAUUUCAUAAAUAAAAAGAAAAUUUCUUCAAACAUUUUUUUGAGAGGAUUAAUAUUCAACAGCAUAGUGAAUUGCUCAAAGGCAAAAAUAAACUUUUAAGUUCAUUAGACCACAUUCAUUCUGUGUCAGAAACCUAUGCUGUGUCAACUAUUUAAUUUUAGAUUUAAAAAGUUUGAAGAAGAAAUCUUUAAUUGAUUUGUAAAAUCUUGACAUUUGUUUUGUGUAAAAAAAAACAUGUAAUGUCAAAAUUUGAUCACAAUCCAAAUUCAGAGCUGUAUCACGCUUGAAUGUUUUGUCCAUACUUGCCCCAACUGUUCAGGGUUCGACCUCUGCGGUCGUAUAAAGCUGCGCCCUGCGGAGCACCUGGUUUUUAUCUUGCAUGUAUACCAAAAAUAAAUUGAAAAGUGUUACUUACCGUAUUUAUUCUAUUUAAAGCCCCCCUUCUAAUUAACGCCCCCCUACCGAAAAUAGUGUGUUCAGAACUUUUGACUUCUAAUAAACGCCCCCAUUUUGUUGUUAAAAAAAUUAAUUUAAAACUUACCCAUUACAAUAUUUCAAAGACAUCGACCCGGUCACUCAGAAACAUGAAACGAAAAAUCAAUAACGUUCAUGGUGGGUCUCAUUUGGGUCUAAGCGUGACGCGGGAUUGCGGAUUUUUUGUAAGCGUAACACGUGAAAAUCAAAUUAUUGUGCCGUGAAAACGGGAAAUGAAGUCUAGUGGGACACGGGAAAUUGCAAAAAAUUGAGAAUUGCUUAUGUACAUAGUGUAAGCAGGAAACGGGAAUCUGACAAAACAGUAAGCGGGAUCCGGGAUCAGAACCCUCCAAUGAGACCCCCUCCAUGUUUUAAUCCACUCCGAUAAUACAACACAGUAUGUACAAGUUCCAAAAAUAGAUCUGUCAGUUACACAGUACGUUAUAAAUUUUAACAAAUUAUUAGAUGAGGUCACAUUACCGAUAAACGCUAUUUAUAGAUUAUGGAGACAAUUAGAAACACGUGUAUGUUACUAUAGUGUGUUUCAACAAAAUUCAGGUAAAGGUCAAUGAAGUAAGGUACGAAAUUCGUUUCUCUAAUUGACGCCCCCCUUUCGGAAAUUGUCUUCGCCCCCGGGGCGUUUAAUAGAAUAAAUACGGUACAU